CAGCAGCCGCGGGAAUACCGAGGGUGCGAGCGUUAAUCGGAUUUACUGGGCGUAAAGCGUGCGUAGGCGGCUUUUUAAGUCGGAUGUGAAAUCCCUGAGCUUAACUUAGGAAUUGCAUUCGAUACUGGGAAGCUAGAGUAUGGGAGAGGAUGGUAGAAUUCCAGGUGUAGCGGUGAAAUGCGUAGAGAUCUGGAGGAAUACCGAUGGCGAAGGCAGCCAUCUGGCCUAAUACUGACGCUGAGGUACGAAAGCAUGGGGAGCAAACAGGAUUAGAUACCCGAGUAGUCCCUGUCUCUUAUAC
rnacentral:rRNA from 1 species